rnacentral:rRNA from 1 species
CAAGUCGAGUGCUCGGUUGUAGCAAUACAACUGGCGCACGGCGCACGGGUGCGUAACACGUGGGCAAUCUGCCCUUCGAUGGGGAAUAUCUUCGGGAAACCGAAGCGAAUUCCGCAUAACAUUCCUUGGACCUCGGUUCGAGGACUCAAAGCCGUAAGGCGUCGAAGGAGGAGCCCGCGCACGAUUAGCUAGUUGGUAGGGUAACGGCCUACCAAGGCUUUGAUCGUUAGCUGGUCUGAGAGGAUGGCCAGCCACACUGGAACUGAGACACGGUCCAGACUCCUACGGGAGGCAGCAGUGGGGAAUCUUGCACAAUGGGCGAAAGCCUGAUGCAGCGACGCCGCGUGGGGGAUGAAGCAUUUCGGUGUGUAAACCCCUUUCGACCCGGAAGAAUGCCUCGCAAGAGGACUGACGGUACGGGUAUAAGAAGCCCCGGCUAACUACGUGCCAGCAGCCGCGGUAAGACGUAGGGGGCCAGCGUUGUUCGGAAUUACUGGGUGUAAAGGGUUCGUAGGCGGUGCGGCAAGUUGGGAGUGAAAUCUCUGGGCUCAACCCAGAGGCUGCUUCCAAAACUGCUGUGCUUGAGUGUGGGAGAGGCGCGUGGAAUUGCAGGUGUAGCGGUGAAAUGCGUAGAUAUCUGCAGGAACACCCGUGGCGAAAGCGGCGCGCUGGACCACUACUGACGCUGAGGAACGAAAGCUAGGGGAGCAAACAGGAUUAGAUACCCUGGUAGUCCUAGCCCUAAACGAUCAGGACUUGGGGUGCCACCCGUUCGGGUGUCGUCCCGGAGCUAACGCGUUAAGUCCUGCACCUGGGGAGUACGGUCGCAAGACUGAAACUCAAAGGAAUUGACGGGGGCCC